GUCCCAGUAGCUCAGUCGGAUAGAGCAACGGCCUUCUAAGCCGUGUGUCGGGGGUUCGAAUCCCUUCUGGGACGCCA
rnacentral:tRNA from 1 species